rnacentral:rRNA from 1 species
GCUAACUACGUGCCAGCAGCCGCGGUAAUACGUAGGUGGCAAGCGUUAUCCGGAAUUAUUGGGCGUAAAGCGCGCGUAGGCGGUUUUUUAAGUCUGAUGUGAAAGCCCACGGCUCAACCGUGGAGGGUCAUUGGAAACUGGAAAACUUGAGUGCAGAAGAGGAAAGUGGAAUUCCAUGUGUAGCGGUGAAAUGCGCAGAGAUAUGGAGGAACACCAGUGGCGAAGGCGACUUUCUGGUCUGUAACUGACGCUGAUGUGCGAAAGCGUGGGGAUCAAACAGGAUUAGAUACCCUGGUAGUCCACGCCGUAAACGAUGAGUGCUA